GAUGAACGCUGGCGGCGUGCCUAAUACAUGCAAGUCGAGCGAACAGACGAGGAGCUUGCUCCUUUGACGUUAGCGGCGGACGGGUGAGUAACACGUAGGUAACCUACCUAAAAGACUGGGAUAACUUCGGGAAACCGGAGCUAAUACCGGAUAAUAUUUCGAACCGCAUGGUUCGAUAGUGAAAGAUGGCUUUGCUAUCACUUAUAGAUGGACCUGCGCCGUAUUAGCUAGUUGGUAAGGUAACGGCUUACCAAGGCAACGAUACGUAGCCGACCUGAGAGGGUGAUCGGCCACACUGGAACUGAGACACGGUCCAGACUCCUACGGGAGGCAGCAGUAGGGAAUCUUCCGCAAUGGGCGAAAGCCUGACGGAGCAACGCCGCGUGAGUGAUGAAGGUCUUCGGAUCGUAAAACUCUGUUAUUAGGGAAGAACAAACGUGUAAGUAACUGUGCACGUCUUGACGGUACCUAAUCAGAAAGCCACGGCUAACUACGUG
rnacentral:rRNA from 1 species